rnacentral:rRNA from 1 species
UACGAAGGGGGCUAGCGUUGUUCGGAAUCACUGGGCGUAAAGGGCGCGUAGGCGGAUCUUUAAGUCGGGGGUGAAAGCCUGAGGCUCAACCUCAGAAUUGCCUUCGAUACUGGAGAUCUUGAGACCGGAAGAGGUAAGUGGAACUGCGAGUGUAGAGGUGAAAUUCGUAGAUAUUCGCAAGAACACCAGUGGCGAAGGCGGCUUACUGGUCCGGUUCUGACGCUGAGGCGCGAAAGCGUGGGGAGCAAACAGG